UACAGAGGGUGCAAGCGUUAAUCGGAAUUACUGGGCGUAAAGCGUGCGUAGACGGUUACAUAAGUCGGGUGUGAAAGCCCCGGGCUCAACCUGGGAAUUGCAUUCGAGACUGCGUAGCUAGGGUGCGGAAGAGGGAAGCGGAAUUUCCGGUGUAGCGGUGAAAUGCGUAGAUAUCGGGAGGAAUACCAGCGGCGAAGGCGGCCUUCUGGACGGUGACUGACGCUGAGACGCGAAAGCGUGGGGAGCAAACAGG
rnacentral:rRNA from 1 species